rnacentral:rRNA from 1 species
AGUGAACGCUGGCGGUAGACCUAACACAUGCAAGUCGAACGGCAGCACAGUAAGAGCUUGCUCUUACGGGUGGCGAGUGGCGGACGGGUGAGGAAUACAUCGGAAUCUACUUUUUCGUGGGGGAUAACGUAGGGAAACUUACGCUAAUACCGCAUACGACCUACGGGUGAAAGCAGGGGAUCUUCGGACCUUGCGCGAUUGAAUGGGCCGAUGUCGGAUUAGCUAGUUGGCGGGGUAAAGGCCCACCAAGGCGACGAUCCGUAGCUGGUCUGAGAGGAUGAUCAGCCACACUGGAACUGAGACACGGUCCAGACUCCUACGGGAGGCAGCAGUGGGGAAUAUUGGACAAUGGGCGCAAGCCUGAUCCAGCCAUACCGCGUGGGUGAAGAAGGCCUUCGGGUUGUAAAGCCCUUUUGUUGGGAAAGAAAAGCAGCAGGUUAAUACCCCGCUGUUCUGACGGUACCCAAAGAAUAAGCACCGGCUAACUUCGUG